CCCGCGUGACGUCCAUUCCGUUUGCGGACGGCUGUUGCGGUGACGUCGCACGGGUUGUCGCGUCGCGCGCGCACGGCGCGACAUGGCGGCGCGGGCGGGCCGCGUCUGACUUCGGGGCUCGUGGUGGUGCACGGAGAAGCGAGGCCCUUGCUGGGGGGGGUGGGUAGGGGACGAGACAGCGACACCGAGUCGGAGAGAGAAGAGUAUCCCCAGGCACCGCAAGUUUAUCUAUAUAUAAGCGCGCACACACACACACUCGCGGUCGGAAAUAAUGGGGGCCAACCAGAGUUCGGACGCCGAGGCGGGCCCGUUCGCCGGCGCUGAGGGGCCCUGCCCGCGGUUCGGGACCCGCGACCCCCACGACGGCUGCGGCGGCGGCGGCGGCGGCAGCCGCGGCCUCCGCCUCGUACCGCGCGGGCGUCGCCGCCUCGAGUCGCGGGUCCGCGGGCUGAGGGAGCGAGCGCGCGAGAGGGAGCGGGCCCUGGGCGUCCCCGGGAGGCGUUCGCCGGCCUCGUCUCGCGGCUCGGGCGACUCUGAGGGGAGCAGCCCCGACGAGGGCGACGCGCCGGCCUCCGCGUGCGGCCUCCGCGGCGGGAGGCAUCCUGGGCCUGGCGGGGAUCCCGCGCUCCUUGCCCGUGCGCUUCGCCCCCACAUCUCUUCGGCGGGCUCAAGUGCCCCAUCUGCUCCAAGUUCGUGCCGUCCGAUGAGGUGGAGGUUCACCUUGUCAUGUGUCUCACCAAGCCUCGCGUCUCGUACAACGAGGAUGUACUGACGAAAGACGCUGGCGAAUGCGCCAUCUGCCUGGAUGAGAUGGAUCAAGGAGACACAAUUGCGCGGCUGCCCUGCCUCUGUAUUUAUCAUAAGGGAUGUAUUGACUCAUGGUUUAAAGUGAACCGCUCCUGUCCUGAGCACCCGCCUGACUAACAUGACUAGACCCGCCCAGAAAGUGGCGGCCUGAUCACCACCAGCCCACGUGCCGCGGGGAGAGCGACCUGAGAGCAAUCAAACGAGAGGCUUUUGAUUUUUUUCUGAGUAUUUUGCUCCCCCCCCACCCCUCCAUCACGACUUGAGCCUUAACCGCGCACUUUACCUCCGCCCUCCCGCCCGCUCUCUGCGGCGGGGUCGAGGAGGGGAGCACGAAGGCGGGUGGCAGAACCCCCCCCCCCCAAUCCCUCCACUUCUCCCCAAUCAAAACCACGACUACCUUAACCCCAACCCCCCAGUCCCCAAGUGUCCCGUGUUGCGGUUGGAAAUGACACGUGCUCUGUUUGCCCCGUACGGCUGUUGCUGGUGCAUCACUGACAGCGACAUAUACUGAACUGCCCCCUGUAAUUUAUUAUCCAUCGAGCUUUCAUACCGAUACGGGCCCGAUUUUAUCGGGAGGCAGUGUGAUGAGCAACCGACAUAUAGCAUGGGUGCUCCCGUCAGCGUGUGUGCUAACGAGCAAGCCCCGGUCGCGUUCCUGUCGUGUCAUGUGGAUGCAAUUGUCCAUCAUCGAAAUAUUUAGCGAAAUGGCAGAAAAUGUAAAAGCUGUCCGAGGUGUCGUUGUGGCCAAAUUUUUGAACUUUCAAAUGUCAAGUAUGUUGUUUUUGAAGCGGGAAUCUGUUUGCAGUCUUUGAAAGUAUGACGCCCGUUGUAGAUACAGAAGCUGAAUUUAUAGUCGGUGUCAAGAUUUCCUGACCAUAAUCAGAAUAUAAGGUAUUGAGGAAAAACAAUUAUAAACUCUAAGUAAAUUGAUUUCAAGUUUGUGCUUUGGUCUAUGAAGGUAAAGAGCUGUUGAACCAAACAACGUCGUCGCGAAUGCAUUUUUUUCCGAACGUCAUUUCCAUCUUUUGGAUAUUUUCUAAACAUUUCCUGAAGCUGGUGGUGUUUUUAACUUUCGGUUUCACAUUUUCUUCAACAAUAAUGUGGAUUUGCUUAAAUAUCCUUGUCCAUUGCACGCUGGACAAGGAACAACCAUGCAGGAGUUAGGCCAAAACUGUAAUUCGGAGGAUGAUUUGUCUCCAUUUACCCUUCCAUGUGCAAAGAAUAAAUACACACGUUGCACCAUCCAAUAUAUAAUGAACCCAGGAAAAAAAUAUUUCUUAACACAUUAUUUUUGAGAACAUUUACAGAAAUAAAAUUGUCGCAUUACAAAAGGAAAGUGCACUAAGUGACACUGGGCUGCGCCUUUAAAAGUGUCGCCUUGCUCCAUGUGCUAAUUCGCACUAAAAAUUCGCAGUGAGGUUCUUUUUUUCUCUAUUUAAUUAAAACAAUCGAAUUUAUAACACACUCCUAGUUAGAUGCUUGACAUUUUUGCCGCGUUUGACCUCCUUGCAUAUCUGCCACACAGGAACAAAUUUAAUUUCGCGUGAAAAGAAUGUUUAUCUCUUUUUUCCAGCCUGUCACAUUUUCGUUUUUUGGUUUCUAAACGUUUGUGUUUGCUUUGAGACGAGACAGGAGUGUUGCUUGUAGGUUAAUUCUGCGUCGCAGUCGUGUAAGCAUUGCUCUUUACGCAUGAUCCGACAGUUAUGGCGAUCGUAGAACUACCUCCGUUAAUGCUUUGUAAGAAAAAUAAGAGGCCUUUAUGUUUUACAUUUCAAAUUGACACGUUAAAGCCACCUGCAGUAAGAAGCAUAUGCCCUCUACUGCUAGGAAUAGGUGCUCUGUAGAAUGGUGGGCAUUUGCACAGUUUAUCAACCUUUUUCAUCACAGUACAAUGAAAUGCAUAGAUUACAUAAUUUGAAUCUAAACCUAAAACAGACAAACAAAAAAACUUGAUGUCACUUUGGAAGUUAUUUCUAAAACACUGGGAAGAGGGGGAGGGGGGGGGUUGGUGCCAGGGAUCGAUUUGCACACUUUACCACUAACCUUCUGAAAAAAAAAAUUCCCCCCCCCAUAAUUUAACGUUUACAGAGACGCAAAUGCGACGUUGUCCGAGCGUGUGUGGUGGGGUCGCGUUGUAUGUACGUGUAGCCAUUGUAUUAUUUAAGCCGUAAGUGGGGAAAAAACUAAACGUAAUCGGGGAAACACGGACGGACGCUUUGGCCCUCGCGCCGGGGGUCUUCUGCGUGAUUUUUGUACAGAGAAAAAAAAACGCGUGGGCCGAUCGAGUCCUCGCCUAGCACCGGGUAGUCCUGUGGUCUUGUGCGUCUUUAACAGAAUCCUCCCUCCCCCCUACAAAUGGAAAGUGGUGUUUGUGUAUGUGGACUCGAGGCAGUUUGUAAGAAAACGUUUCACGCAAACAAAGGUUACAUGGGUUUGUUGUUGGCGGAGAAAGUGGUGUGGUUGUUCAGGCGUAUUUUCAUUAAAUCCCCUCCACCUGAAUAGCUGACGUUCCCAAAAUAUUAUCACGUACCUUUUUUAUAUUGCAAAUAUACACACAUAUAUUUUAAAAAGUGUAGUUACAAGUUAAGGCAGUAGGACAGGUGUUGUCUUUUUAAAACUUUCAACUUGUGUUUUGUAGGAAAUGCAAUUGACACAUUAAUUUUCAUGACCAGAAACCCCAGAUUUAAACAAAUAAAACGCAAACGUAGGCUGUCGAAAUAUAAACAAGAUCUAUUGCAUGUAACCGUGGAGUUUCAUGGAAAAUUUGUAGUGUGAGUGUAUAUAGUCGGACGUCUGGCCGAGUCUGUGCGAUGCCUGGUUAAGGCAGUCUGUGUGUCUUUGAAAUUUGGUGGCCCAUCAUUUUGUACAUGUCAAUAAAUAUAGCAAAAAUGCAUUAUA